UUUUUGCUGCAAUGUCGGCGUUGAAAUAUGACGACAUUCCGUUGGUUGUUUCGGAGACGGGAUGGCCGUCGAAAGGUGACGAGAAUGAAAUCGGAGCAAGCGUAGUAAACGCCGCCGCUUACAAUGGCAACCUAGUAAAAAGAAUCCUCACCGGCGGAGGCACACCUCUCCGACCAAAAGCAAACCUCACCGUUUUCCUGUUCGCUCUCUUUAACGAAAACAAGAAAACCGGGCCAGCAUCGGAGCGAAAUUACGGGUUGUUUUAUCCGAAUAUGGAGAAGGUAUACGAGAUUCCGUUCACGGUGGACGAUCUGAAGAAUUACAGGGAGGACAA
rnacentral:lncRNA from 1 species